GCAAUAGCAUACAAACUGAUUUUUUAAAUAUAAGCUUAGGUUGUAAUUGUACAAGUGACUCAAUGGAAGUACAAAAUAGGGCAGUUUUAACUUUUUUUUCUGCUUCUAUGGAUUUCAUUUUGUUGUGUUUUCAAAAAGUUAUGGUGCUGUAUAGGUGCUUUCUGUUUAACCUGGAAAGUGUGAUUAUAUUCGUUACCUUCUUUGGUAGACGGAAUAGUUGGGACCACC
rnacentral:lncRNA from 1 species